rnacentral:rRNA from 1 species
UACAUGGGGUGCAAACGUUGCUCGGAAUUAUUGGGCGUAAAGCGCGCGUAGGCGGUUACUUAAGUCGGAUGUGAAAGCCCUCGGCUUAACUGAGGAAGUGCACCCGAAACUGAGUAGCUAGAGUACGAAAGAGGGUCGCGGAAUUCCCGGUGUAGAGGUGAAAAUUCGUAGAUAUCGGGAGGAACACCGGUGGCGAAGGCGGCGACCUGGGUCGAGACUGACGCUGAGGCGCGAAAGCGUGGGGAGCAAACAGG